rnacentral:pre_miRNA from 1 species
AGGGAGCACCGGAUCCUGGGCUGUGUCCCCCGGCGCCCUGGGCUCCGGGGCCUGCACCGCUGAAAUCACGCUCCUGGGGCCCCGCAGCCCCCU